GAGAGACGCUGGCGGCGUGGAUUAGGCAUGCAAGUCGAACGGUAGGAUACCUUCGGGUAUCUGAGAGUGGCGAACGGGUGAGUAACACGUAGGUGAUCUACCCUCAAGAUUGGGACAACCCAGGGAAACUUGGGCUAAUACCGGAUGAAAGCAGCAGUGAUGUUGUUUGAAAGGUGGCGUAAGCUGCCGUUUGGGGAUGAGCCUGCGCUCUAUUAGUUAGUUGGCGGGGUAAAGGCCCACCAAGGCGAUGAUAGAUAGGCGGCCUUAACGGGUGGUCGCCCACACUGGGAUUGAGAUACGGCCCAGACUCCUACGGGAGGCAGCAGUCGAGAAUAGUCUACAAUGGCCGAAAGGCUGAUAGUGCGACGCCGCGUGAACGAAGAAGCCCUUCGGGGUGUAAAGUUCUUUUAUAUGUGAGCAGUGCUUUCUAUGUGAACAGCAUGGGGAGAGAGAUAUUAGCAUAUGAAUAAGCAACGGCUAACUCCGUG
rnacentral:rRNA from 1 species